rnacentral:rRNA from 1 species
AUUGAACGCUGGCGGCAGGCUUAACACAUGCAAGUCGAGCGGGGUGAUGGUGCUUGCACUAUCACUUAGCGGCGGACGGGUGAGUAAUGCUUAGGAAUCUGCCUAUUAGUGGGGGGCAACAUCUCGAAAGGGAUGCUAAUACCGCAUACGUCCUACGGGAGAAAGCAGGGGAUCACUUGUGACCUUGCGCUAAUAGAUGAGCCUAAGUCGGAUUAGCUAGUUGGUGGGGUAAAGGCCUACCAAGGCGACGAUCUGUAGCGGGUCUGAGAGGAUGAUCCGCCACACUGGGACUGAGACACGGCCCAGACUCCUACGGGAGGCAGCGGUGGGGAAUAUUGGACAAUGGGGGGAACCCUGAUCCAGCCAUGCCGCGUGUGUGAAGAAGGCCUUAUGGUUGUAAAGCACUUUAAGCGAGGAGGAGGCUCUUUUGGUUAAUGCCCAAGAUGAGUGGACGUUACUCGCAGAAUAAGCACCGGCUAACUCUGUGCCAGCCGCCGCCGUAA